UACGUAGGGUGCAAGCGUUAAUCGGAAUUACUGGGCGUAAAGCGUGCGCAGGCGGUUUUGUAAGUCAGAUGUGAAAUCCCCGGGCUUAACCUGGGAACUGCGUUUGAAACUACAAGGCUAGAGUGUGGCAGAGGGGGGUGGAAUUCCACGUGUAGCAGUGAAAUGCGUAGAGAUGUGGAGGAACACCGAUGGCGAAGGCAGUGUCCUGGGGAGUACCUGACGCUCAGGUGCGAAAGCCAAGGGAGCAAACAGG
rnacentral:rRNA from 1 species